CCUACGGGUGGCAGCAGUGGGGGAUAUUGCACAAUGGGGGAAACCCUGAUGCAGCGACGCCGCGUGUGGGAAGACGGUCCUCUGGAUUGUAAACCACUGUCUCCAGGGACGAAGAUGACGGUACCUGGGGAGGAAGCUCCGGCUAACUACGUGCCAGCAGCCGCGGGAAUACGUAGGGAGCGAGCGUUGUCCGGAAUUACUGGGUGUAAAGCGCGCGUAGGCGGGACUGCAAGUUGGGUGUCAAAUCUACGGGCUCAACCGGUACUCGCACUCAAAACUAGAAUACUUGAGGGAGAUAGAGGGAAGGGGAAUGCCAGGGGAAGCGGGGAACUGCGGAGAUAGAGGGAGGAAAA
rnacentral:rRNA from 1 species